rfam:Stomoxys calcitrans breed 8C7A2A5H3J4 unplaced genomic scaffold Scaffold243, whole genome shotgun sequence.
CGUAGCGCAGAGAUUAGCAUGUCUGCCUAUGAAGCUGAAAGCCUAGGUUCAAAUCCUGGCG